rnacentral:snRNA from 1 species
AUCCUAGUGCACGGGCAGUUCGAUCACCAGUGAGGAUUUCAUCCGAGGUAUCGAUUUUGCUAGUUGAAAACUACCAUAGUUUGACCGCUUCAACCGGCUUCGUGUCGGUUGGGAAUUUUUGAUGCAAACACCUUUUU